CUUUCACGCUGUCGCUGCCCGUAGGUGGUUGUGGCCACUGUGCCCGGAGGGAGGCGGCGGUGGCCAGUAAUGCCUGGGAAACUCCUCUGGGGGGACAUUAUGGAGCUGGAAGCACCCUUGGAGGAGUCCGAGAGCCAGAAGAAGGAGAGGCAAAAGGUGUUUAUUGAACCUAAUUUGUACCAUACUCUUUGCUGAGUACCAAGGAGGUUAAACUAAAUAAGUAAAGAAAUGGUCUCUGCUCUCAAGGAGCCUGUAGAGGAG
rnacentral:lncRNA from 10 species